AUACUUUCGAAAGAAAAAAAAAUCUGUUCUUAUCAGUUUAAUAUCUGAUACGUCCCCUACCCGGGGACCAUAUAUUAAAUGGAUUUCUGGAACAGGGAGAUGGAAUAGGGGCUUGCUCCGUCCACUCCACGCAUCGACCCGGUAUUGCAGUAUCUCCAGGAACGGUGCACCCCCU
rnacentral:snRNA from 1 species